UCCCGGCCGCGGCGCUGCGCGGAGCGGAGCGUUUCUGGUUUCUAUAUCGGAACGUCUGUCACGCUGCUUCUGGGGUUCGGCCCUUCGGGGUUUUAAGCCACUGCCGCUGCUGGGCCUGGAGGCCGUUCUGAACGCCGUUGUCAAUGGCAAGGAUUCCCUGCGGCUUCUUCUGCUCCCCCGUUGCUCCCGCUAAGCGAGUAUGCAAGCCGUUAGAAGCCGUUCCAAAUGAGGUCGAUGCUCGCCUCAUUGAUUGUGCUAUGGAGCUGGAUUCUAAACAGAAAGUCUCCUCUGGCUGUGGUCCUUGGGCUACAAAGACAAAGCAAAAUUCAAUGAUUUUUGAAAACCAAGGAAGCAGAGGUACUGCCCAGCCUUGCCCAAGAUGUAUUGCUGGAGAAUCUGGACACUUCAAUCACAUCCUGGGCUGCUAGAGAUGGAGAGACUGCAGAUAAACAAUGCUGCCUUCCCUGCUGGAUUCUAGAAAUGCACCUGUGAGCAGUGCACAGCUGGAGUACGUUCACUCACGGCGAACUGUUCAGCACACUCUGUGUGUUACUCCUCCAGUGCACAGUUGGAUGCCACUGUUUUUACACUUGAAAAAAUGCUUUUGUUUUUAAGGUAUCUCAUAGAUAAGAAAAUAUAUAUGUUUGAUUUAACUUUUUGGAGUAGUUAAGGUGAUUUGGCCUUUGGCCCAGUCUGCACCUGGCACUGGACCAAAGAUCAUGCUGAUACAAAGUAUUCUACUGUCUCACUUGGGCACUUUCUCUGAUACUCUUGGAGGUUGUCCUUGUGUUUACACUGGUACAGGGCCUGCACUUCUAGUUCAAUUGUAUAUAAGCAGGCAGAAAUUUGAGGACUCUUCAGUUCUAGAUAGAGAGCUGAUCAGCUUUACAGCUAUGCAAGGGCCAUUAAAAACCCGAUUGAAACUUAUUUUGUUUUAACAUCCAGAAUAUGCAUCCAAUUUGGGUAUCUUUCCUACAUGCCAAACUCUUACAUGAUUUACAAUAAGCGCAGUUUGUGAAUGUGACAGGUAACUAUCUAAAAGAAAAAUCAGUAUUAUUUGAACAACAUUAUCAUGCGAAGGUGAGUGGUGCUUCAGAUCUGCACAGUCCUCUCAAGUUGCUGAAAAUACCAUCUGAUGCUCUGGGAUUCCUUCUUUCCAGCUGUUGUGAUUCUAGAACAAAUCUGUUUAAGGUUGUUACCCAACUUGAUCCUAUAGGCUUGCCACAAAUGGUUUAAUCAAUAUUUGGAUGGCCUGCAGGCCUAUGUAAUUUUUAAACACCUGCAGAUUUUUAGACUCUUAAGGUAUCCAAGUUGUGUUAUUUGGAUGUGACACUUCAAGUGGCUGCUCUGGAAUGGAGCUGGCUGCUGUCCAGAACAGAAUAGCAAUACGCUUACCCUCUGUGUUAGAGGGAAAUGGCAAUGAUAUGCCAAAGUUCAGGAAGAAAGCAAUCUUCACUGUCAGGAGAAGUGUGCCCUGUUCCCACUGAGCCUUCGGGCAAGGUUCAGCCCACACCAGCAAGGCAGGCAGAACAGCUUCCAGCCUCUCCUGUUCUGAGGGCAGGCACUACUCAGUGUAGAUUAAAACGGUAGCUCUGAAGUUGCAAAAAUCUAGGAACAGGCUUGUAAAGGUCACUGUCCCAGUGGCAUUUAUCACACCUUACAGUGCUUAGACAAAGCUUUUCCUAGUCCUAGAACGCUUCCCAUAUCGUGUGUGGAGUUGUAGCUAGUACUGGCUUGAUUUUUAUUAACAAAAUACUCUUCCUAAAUAGAUGAAUAUCAUAUGAAUACUGAAUUCAGUUAAGCGACGGAUGGGGAAAUAAGUUUAUUAAGCAGAGCUGCACUAAAUUGGCAUCCAGAAAGUUUGGUUAGGAAAGAAUAAAUUUCCUCCAAGCCCAUACGAAUUUUAGAUCCUUUGAAAAUUGAUCUUUGCAAAGUGGGAUUGGCCUGGAUGAUCUCCAGAGAUCCCCCCACCCCCUACAAUUCUGUGAUUCUGCCAGUUCUUUCAGAUACCCCAAGAUCUCCUUCAAUGACAGAAGCCGUACAAUCUGUUCAAAGAUCAAGUCAAUGAGAAACACGAUGGUUUUAAAAUUUGUAUUUGCCCUGUUACCUUGAAGGUAAGAAACUCAUCUCGAGCUCUCCAGCCCCCAAUACAGGCUAUAUUAUCUAUCCAAGCCAGAAAGGAACAUACACUCAGUUGAAAUGAUAGAAGAGCAUGAGCAAAUUCCCAUAUACUGAUAAUAGAGUGUAUCAGCUAGUGCAAAAUGGUAAUAUAAAAUGGUUUCUAAAGAUGCUGUUUGCUCUGCAACUGCGUAUUUCUUGCUGGGUAGCUAGACUAUAUUUUGUGGGCAGUUCAUUUUUACAAGAUUUUCCAGUUCUUUAAAAAUCCUGGUAGCAUUGUCAGCCAAGAAAAAAAGAUGGCUAAGCUUCAGUUUCUGUGCCGUAAAAAUGGAAAUAGUUACUUUGCAUGUAAAAGGCUGGAAGAUAUCUAAAAGUUUAGGCACUGCAAAGUGACUCAAAACGUAUUGGGCUUCACUGAGCUAAAUGCUUGAAAGCAGCCAUUAGCAGAACACUAUGUAAUCAAAAUUUAAGGUAUGUUAAGAAGAGAAAUUACACUUGGAGUUGUUCCUGGCAAAGUUUUCUGCUAGAAUUUAUUAGACCAAAGAAGCACAACAUUGUUUUUAAAACAUGUGGAAUAUGCCUAUGAAUCAGCAGACCAAGAGGACGAUUUUCCAUUUAAAUAAUUCAAAUUUCGUCAAGUUAAGAAUUCACAGAUACCAGUGCAUGUAUUUCUCCUGUUGGCUAAAAACCUGGCUGCAUUUUAGCCUAGUAUAGAAUACAGUCAGAAUGAGAACUAAUUGAUUUUCCUUACGAUCCUUGUAGUUCCUACCAUGCUCUUUCUAAUCCUUCUCCUUUCAGAGCAGCCAUUGCUUGGUUUUGUAAGCUGCCACCGUACAUAAAUCACAGGAUUGGUCAUAGUUCCUGGCUGCAUUACAGAGGCCUGAUGAAGUCACACUCUGUUCGAUUUUAAUGCAAUUUUUUCAUAUCAGUCUUCUCAUUGUUACUGUGCGCUGUGCAGGUAUUUUAUUACACUGUCCACAGUGACUCUCAGCUCUGUCCUUGGAGAUUACUGCAUCUCUACAGCUCCAGAAAAUAGGAGAACGUUGUACUAUUUUUUACUCUGUAACCUGCAGUGUGAACACGGGCCUGGGGUACCUUCUUUGCACUGUUCAAAAUGUAAUGCUGCAUUUUAUAUCAGAUCUAAUUGCUCAGUAGUUACAUUACUUGUGUGUAUAGUUUGAAUAUCUAAAUGCUGUAGAAAAGAAACAUGAGUAAAAUUGUCCCAGGUAGGGUCAGUGUUUAACUGCAGCCUUUUCUGUUCCCCAGGAACACAACACAGGGUACGUUGUUGCAAUUCUGUGGCCAUAUUUUAAAAAACUCUGGUGCCCAACCAAUUUUAUCUGUUUUGAGAAUGAACUCUAAAAAUGGGUUUCGAUGUAGACUAGCUGGUGGAAAGUUAGCUCCCCUCACUUCCACUUCAUCCCAAUUAAUGUAGUUAUACUGAGUGUUGUCGAUAUGUUAGUAUAGAGGAGGAAUGAUAAAACACUUGGCAGUUACGAUCUUUCCUGCAUCGUAACAGUUUAUAAUGAAAGAGCAAGUGUAAGAACUACUUCUCAGUACAGAAACAUGAUGCCUUUCUUCCUUAGCAAAGAUUUCUGAGAAACUUGUCUGUAUCUUUCUCAUCCUUCUGAUUUGAUAUGCAUUUUAAUCUUGGCAUUCCCACCAUGUCAGUUUCCAGGAUAGCUUUCCCUAGCUCCUUACCUGCAGGAGCACCAGGCUGGAUGGGCUGGGAGUACCUGGCACCUGUGUGACUGGCAGCAGGGGGCAGAUGGGGAGAGGCUGAGAAACAGGACAGGCAUUGAAUGGGAACACUUCUUACAGCUGGGAGAACAGUGUUUUACACUGUGUUUUGUUCUGGGCAUCCUGUUUUUAUCUCACAGCUCGGUCUUGAGCAUCACGUAUCAUGACUAUUAUUGCAACGCUGAUAGUUCCCAGCAGUAUUUUUGCCUUCACACUUGUUAAUACAAAAACGUAUUGGGCAUCAGGAGGGUGUCAUACCUGAGUUUUCCUUCUGAAGUAAACAUUGGCAUCAUCACUAUUUAAGAAGCAUUUCCUGUGUGACUAGAGUUCAGGUGUGCGCAUGUACUAGAUCAGCAGAGAAUAAAGAUACAUCUAGUUUUGAUAGCAGCUCCCUCUUUUUGGUGGUCCUUGAGUUGGCUUAGAAUUAAAACACGAAUCAACAAGAACGCAGUGGGAUGCGCAGCUCAUGUUAGGAGGCAGAACGGUCGCUGCACUGCACCUUUUUGUCAGUGUUCUGCAUUCUUGUUGCGGGAGGUGCUAAGUCCUAAAAGAAAAGAUUUUGAUAAAAGAAGGUAUUCUGGGUCGAUGUCCAUUUCGGCUGUGUUCUGCAUGAAGAACCCAGAAAUGAAAUAAUGGCUGUUGCUCACUUUGUGCUCCUGGGUUUGCUCCAUGUGUCCCUGGGCCUGCUCCUCCAUUCACCACACGGCUGCAGGCCUCACUGCUGCUCGGAGGCCGCACCUCUGCAACAUCACUGUUAGCCCUGGCUGCGUUCAAAAUGAGUUGCUUACCCUUCUGCAUAAGCUUCAAAGUGAACCUUCAGGAAGGAUGCGGCUGGUAUCUUUUUCAGUCGACGUGCUGUAUUUGUCAUUUGCUUCAGGGUUUGGUCAGUCAGGAUCAUGAAGGUGCUGCAGCAGGCGCAGCUGAAGGCCGUGCAGUUCGGGGUCGUAAAUGUUUCUUUGAAGCAGGUUGGUGUCAAAUCUGCAGUAGAACCUCAGAACUAUUUUUUGUGGGACUUCUCUUCCCACAAGAUCUCUCCCUACGAGAUUUUGCUUUAUUGAUAAAUACGAUAGAUUCUUUAUCUUUCUUAAUGCUGUGGUUUGUACACAAAAUAACCCCAAAGAUACUUUAUUUCCGUGUAUAUAGUACAAUUGAGCGUACGGUCAGUUUUUAAUUCAGAGGAAAGUUAUGUAAUAUUUUUAACUUUGUAUUUUAUAAGCUGUUGCAAAAGCAGAUGCAUUAAACACACCUUUGGCUACAGUA